rnacentral:misc_RNA from 1 species
UUUCUGUAGGUGAACCUGCGGAAAGAUCAUUAUCGUGGAGCUUCGGCCCUAUCGAGAUAGAACGCUUGCCUUUAUAGUACCUUCUGUUGCCUCAGCGUACGCUUCACUGCUGCGCUAAUAGAGCUAACCAAAAACCCUUUUUUUAUUAUGAGUUAGUCUGAAAAACAAACAAAAGUUAAAACUUUCAACAACGGAUCUCUUGGUUCUAGCAUGGAUGAAGAAC